rnacentral:rRNA from 1 species
GAGUGAUGGGCUCCGAAGCUAACGCGAUAAAUCGACCGCUGGGGAGUACGGCCGCAAGGUUAAAACUCAAAUGAAUUGACGGGGGCCCGCACAGCGGUGGAGCAUGUGGUUUAAUUCGAUGCAACGCGAAGAACCUUACCUGGUCUUGACAUCCAUAGAAUUCUGCAGAGAUGUGGGAGUGCCUUCGGGAACUAUGAGACAGGUGCUGCAUGGCUGUCGUCAGCUCGUGUUGUGAAAUGUUGGGUUAAGUCCCGCAACGAGCGCAACCCUUAUUCUUUGUUGCCAGCGAUUUGGUCGGGAACUCAAAGGAGACUGCCGUUGAUAAAGCGGAGGAAGGUGGGGACGACGUCAAGUCAUCAUGGCCCUUACGACCAGGGCUACACACGUGCUACAAUGGCGUAUACAAAGGGAAGCGAAGGUGCGAGCUGGAGCGGAUCUCAUAAAGUACGUCUAAGUUCGGAUUGGAGUCUGCAACUCGACUCCAUGAAGUCGGAAUCGCUAGUAAUCGUAGAUCAGAAUGCUACGGUGAAUACGUUCCCGGGCCUUGUACACACCGCCCGUCACACCAUGGGAGUGGGUUGCACCAGAAGUAGAUAGCUUAACCGCGAGGGGGGCGUUUACCACGGUGUGAUUCAUGACUGGGGUGAAGUCGUAACAAGGUAACCA